rnacentral:rRNA from 1 species
UAGGGAAUCUUCGGCAAUGGGGGCAACCCUGACCGAGCAACGCCGCGUGAGUGAAGAAGGUUUUCGGAUCGUAAAGCUCUGUUGUAGGUCAAGAACGGGUGUGAGAGUGGAAAGUUCACACUGUGACGGUAGCUUACCAGAAAGGGACGGCUAACUACGUGCCAGCAGCCGAGGUAAUACGUAGGUCCCGAGCGUUGUCCGGAUUUAUUGGGCGUAAAGCGAGCGCAGGCGGUUUGAUAAGUAUGAAGUUAAAGGCUGUGGCUCAACAAUAGUGCGCUGUGGAAACUGUCAAAAGUGAGUGCAGAAGGGGAGAGUGGAAUUACAUGUGUAGCGGUGAAAUGCGUAGAUGUAUGGAGGAACAACGGUGGCGAAAGAGGCUAUCUGGUCGGUAACUGACGCUGAGGAGCGAAAGAGUGGGGAGCGAACAGG